rnacentral:rRNA from 1 species
UACAGAGGGUGCAAGCGUUGUUCGGAAUUAUUGGGCGUAAAGCGCGUGUAGGCGGCUUGGCAAGUCGGGUGUGAAAUCCCUCAGCUCAACUGAGGAAGUGCGCCCGAAACUGCUGUGCUUGAGUACUGGAGAGGGUGGCGGAAUUCCCCAUGUAGAGGUGAAAUUCGUAGAUAUGGGGAGGAACACCGGUGGCGAAGGCGGCCACCUGGCCAGAUACUGACGCUGAGGUGCGAAAGCGUGGGGAGCAAACAGG